UGGGGAAUAUUGGACAAUGGGCGCAAGCCUGAUCCAGCCAUACCGCGUGGGUGAAGAAGGCCUUCGGGUUGUAAAGCCCUUUUGUUGGGAAAGAAAUCCAGCCGGCUAAUACCUGGUUGGGAUGACGGUACCCAAAGAAUAAGCACCGGCUAACUUCGUGCCGGCAGCCGCGGUAAUACGAAGGGUGCAAGCGUUACUCGGAAUUACUGGGCGUAAAGCGUGCGUAGGUGGUCGUUUAAGUCCGUUGUGAAAGCCCUGGGCUCAACCUGGGAACUGCAGUGGAUACUGGGCGACUAGAGUGUGGUAGAGGGUAGCGGAAUUCCUGGUGUAGCAGUGAAAUGCGUAGAGAUCAGGAGGAACAUCCAUGGCGAAGGCAGCUACCUGGACCAACACUGACACUGAGGCACGAAAGCGUGGGGAGCAAACAGGAUUAGAUACCCUGGUAGUCCACGCCCUAAACGAUGCGAACUGGAUGUUGGGUGCAAUUUGGCACGCAGUAUCGAAGCUAACGCGUUAAGUUCGCCGCCUGGGGAGUACGGUCGCAAGACUGAAACUCAAAGGAAUUGACGGGGUCAUAGC
rnacentral:rRNA from 1 species